rnacentral:lncRNA from 1 species
UUUUUUUUCUGUACAAUUGAUGAUACAAUUGGGGGUUACUAAGCUAAAGCAACUUGAUGAAAGCUAUAUAACUUGAUGAUAACGAAAACCGUUUAUUUUUCUCGUUUCUUUUUACGAACUGUUAGUCGGUCCGUGGGGUUAGGAUUUUCUUAGGUAUUUGAUGUGUUGUGUUGUAUAACUUGUGAAUCGCAUGUGGGAUAUUCUUCUCGUGAACUUAGAUAUGUCAUGUGUCGUUUAUUUCGGUUUAUUUCGUUUCCUGGCGUAGAAAAUUUGAAUUUUCUUGACAUUGGAUGCUGUUAUGUUUUUUCGCAUUAAAUUUCUCGAUUCUUACUAUUCUGUUUUCAUUUCGUGUGAGACCGUUUUUUCUUGAUUUGUGUUCAAUGUAUUCUCCAUUUACACUCGUUGAAGCAAUUUUUAGUUAAUCGAUUGAGCAGGUUCCGAGUUUAUGAGAAAUUACUAGUUUGCUUUCCCUAUGAAUUGUGUUUGUUUGUCAUUACCUGAUCGAAUCUCUCGAGCUUUUUCGAUUCAAGAAUUUCUUUGGCUAAACAAAAACAUAGGAGAUAUUUCUUGACUAUUUAGUUCCUUCCUUACCAACUUUAACGAUUUUUAACAGACAUCAUCAAGUUUCCGAAUCAUCCACGAGCUUUUUGUACGCUUUGUUCUAUAACUUGCAAGACUUUGAUUAUUAGUUGUAAAACAUGUUUAAGUUGUUAGUUAUGCUGUACUAUGUGCUCUUGUUGGAUCUUAGAGUACUUAUUUUCAUUUGUUAAGCUCUACUUUCCCUUGAUCAAAGGCCAAACAUACUUGUUUCGAAAUUUACGUUUUUUCGAAACCGUAAUGGCAAACUUGUAAUCUAUGUAACUUGAGUUAUAUAGGUAACUUCUUAAGUAAUUUG